GCUCGGGGCGAGGACCCCGAAGGUGAGGAGCAGCUCCGGGGGGGCCCAGCCGCAGGCGUCUCUGCCUGUCAGCGCCUGCCACUGGGCACCGUCCCCAGCACUGAGAGUGGACGCCAGGGCCGUUGGCCUUCCGCCCUGAGGACAGGCCUAUCAGCACAGGCGCCGCUGCCCUGGACACGGGCCUGCGGGGCCUCGCUCCUUGGAGCCGAAAGCUCCCAGCAAUCCCCCCAGGGGCGUGCAGGCUGCAGUUCCCAGGGCUGGAACUCCGGGGCACACACGGCGUCGGCAGCGCGCUCAAAGCUGGGCCGUCGGCGUAUCAGGACCUGUCGAGGGCCAGUGGGGAAGGCGCCAGGCAUUCCGUAGCCUGCGUCCUGGCUUCAUGACGGGCACAGAGUGAUCACCUGGUCGCAAUCAGUCCAAUCAGCAUCAAGACUCGGUCCAGAGCCAAUGGGAAAGGCUGUUACACUUCCCACUGGCUUUGUCCUGGUUCUGGCGAUUGGGGCAGGAGUGAUCACGUGGCCUCAGCCAGUCCAAUCAGAGUGUCAGCACCUGGCAACAGGGCCGAUGGGCGCUCCUUGGAUUUGAGGGGUGCGGGCGCUGCCGCCAUUUUCUCCAUGUGCGGGGUUGGGACUCGGGGUCCGUGAGCGACGCCACAGCGGCGGAAGUGAGAGACUGGACGUGGAAGAAAACAGCCUCCGUUCUCGUGACCUCCCCGGAGCCCCGCCAGCGGCAGCCGGGUUCCUCGCCGAGCCGCGUCCCUUCGGCUCUCCCGGGCAGCUCCGAGGAUGUCCUGUUUGUGAUUCUUCGGGGUGCUCCAAGAUGGCUGCUUGAGCUGCAGUCCCUGUGUCUGCAUUUCUUAUCUUGGACAGGAGCGCCACUGUCCUCUGAUGAGCUUUCUGCUUCUCUGGCCAUCUCCAGGCGUGGAGACCAACUCCAUAGAAGAUGGUGGCAGGUGCAGCCUGAACCCCCCCAAGGUGAGCACCAGGAAAGACCCUGUGAUUCUCCCAGCAGGGCCAGGCAGGAGGGUUCCAUGUGCCUAGUGUCCCCGCCCCUUGUAGGGAGGGUCUGACCCGUGUCCAGCAAUGGGGCUCACCAAACAGAGGACAGUGUCUCUCUAGUGAGGAAAAGUCUUGAAGCCCAGGAGACUGGUGAAGCCAGGGUCAGAGCAGAGGGAGGGCACCAUUCACCAUGGCCCCGACAGACGUGGCUUGUUAGCCUAAUAAAAGCAGAGGGGCCCCCAGACUAUGCAGUUAUGGGAACAGGCUGAGCUGCGCAGGAGCUGGGCCAUUAUCUCAUUUCUCUGGACAGACUCCAUUAGGCCCAUCACUCUCCUGUCUGCCAGCAAGCAUGAGGGCGCCAGUGGUGAGCCCCAGGCCACGCCCUCAUAGCUCGCCCUCUCCCUCAGGCAGUACAGGGGAGCCCUCCCUUCCCUGUUGGGCAUUUGGGCCCCAGCUGGACCAACAGGAGACGCUGCUUGCCUGGAGGGAACGAGGAAGCUCUCUUCUCCCAGGGGCCCUAGGGCAUAAGGUAGCUCCAUGCACUCUCAGAGUCCCUGGCUUUCUGAACCUCAUUGCAGCCGUCCUUUGCGUGGUCAGCUUAGCCUGGCCAAAUCCUGUGUCACGUGAUGGUUCCCAGCUUCCGGAGUGAGCAUCACCAUGCACAGGCGAGGGGCACAGGGCUCCUCCCCCAAUGUCAAGGGCUCCUCCCCCAACAUGUCUUUGUCUAAACCAGUCCUUGGAAAGGACUUGGGGCUGGGGUGAGUCCCAGGUGGGGCAUCUAGAACACUUGGCACGAGGGGCCAGGGCUGGUGAAUGGUGACACCAGUGUCAGCUGCGUGAGCUCUUCACUGCCAUGUGCAGAAUAUGGCUGCCCUACAUCUUAUGGACCAAGACUUCAGAUAUCGAUUCCCCAGGGAUAGGAGGUAGCAUUUAACUGUGAAUGACUUGGGGGUUCUGCACCCCCAUUGUCAUCCUUUUUCUACAGCUAGGUCAAUGUUCUGGGGUACUUAUGUACCAGAGUCUGGAGGAGCGGGUCAGAUCUCUGGGUUCUGCCCCCUGCUGGGUUCCUCCCUCGACUCGUUCUCAAGUCCCCAGAGGCAGGAGUGGGGAAGAGAAACCCUUUUCGGUGUAGCUGGAGUGCACCAAGGUGACAUGGCAGGAGAGCUGGGAGCCACAGCUUUUGUCCCCCUACCGUGUUAGCAGCAACCACCUACGCUCAGGUGAAGGGUUGUACCAAAGCCUGCCCCGUCUCUGGGAACGGCCAGAACUUCCUGCCUGUGGCCUGGAUCUUCAGUCUCCCCUAAGAAGGCAAAAUUCUUUGUCACUGGAGAACCUCUGGUGAAGGUCACCAUCCUGGACUCAGACCCAGGGUGUGCAACACAUCCCCUGUCCCACACCUGACCAUGACAAGGGCACAGCGGAACAGUGCAUGGGCACAGCUGAGAGCACUGCAGGUGGACACUGAGGUGUACAGAAGGUCUUCAGGUGAUUCAUGGAAAAAGCAUACUAAAAAGUUUGUGCACCAAAAUAAACAUCUUUUAAUUCCAUUCUUCAAAUUUUGUGAAGCAUUUUUGUAGAUCGGCAAAGUCCAAUAUGAAGACUACAGAUAAAAAGAAGUCUCUGGCCAUUGGAGGGUGAACCAACGGCAAAGGAAGACCUUUCUCUCUCUCUCUCACUCUCUCACUUUCUCACUCUCUCACUGUCCACUCUGCCUGUCAAAAAAAAAAAAAAAAAAAAAAGAA